rnacentral:rRNA from 1 species
AGAGAGAGACAUGCGCGCAUAUCAAUAAGCGGAGGAAAAGAAACUAACAAGGAUUCCCCUAGUAACGGCGAGUGAAGCGGGAAGAGCUCAAAUUUGAAAUCUUAAAGGGUUUCCCUUUACGAAUUGUAGUUUAAAGAAGUGUUUUCUGUUGAGGUUUUGGUAAAAGUUCUUUGGAAUAGGACAUCAUAGAGGGUGAGAAUCCCGUAUUUGACCUUUACUUUCAACUUUGUGAUACACUUUCAAAGAGUCGGAUUGUUUGGGAAUGCAGUCCAAAAUGGGUGGUAAAUUUCAUCUAAAGCUAAAUAUUGGCGAGAGACCGAUAGCGAACAAGUACCGUGAGGGAAAGAUGAAAAGAACUUUGAAAAGAGAGUUAAACAGUACGUGAAAUUGUCAAAAGGGAAGCGUUUGACACCAGUGUUGUUUUUCUGAAAAUCAAUUAAAGAACUGUUUAUGCUAAGCUGUUUAGACUUUAUCAGCUAUACUGUUUAGUUUUGAGCUUUUCUUUAAUGCACUUUUCAGUUAACAAGUCAACAUCAAUUUCUUUUGCUGUAAAAAAGCUUGAGGAAGGUGGCUUGAGAUUCGUCUUAAGUGUUUAUAGCCUCUUGCCUAUGCAGUCGGAGAGAUUGAGGUCUGCAGCGUAGAUCCUUCGGGGCUAAAUGCAUUUGUGCUAAGUUAUAGCAUUUUAUAGACAACUUGUUGACUAUGAUUUGUCUUGUAGCUUACUCGCUUAUGUUAUUUUACCUACGCUUAGGAUGUUGACGCAUGAGAUAUACGC